AGUGAACGCUGGCGGUAGGCCUAACACAUGCAAGUCGAACGGCAGCACAGUAAGAGCUUGCUCUUACGGGUGGCGAGUGGCGGACGGGUGAGGACUACAUUGGCAUCUACUUUUUCGUGGGGGAUAACGUCGGGAAACUUACGCUAAUACCGCAUACGACCUACGGGUGAAAGCAGGGAAUCUUCGGACCUUGCGCGUUUGAAUGAGACGAUGUCGGAUUAGCUAGUUGGCGGGGUAAAGGCCCCCCAAGGCCACGAUCCGUAGCUGGUCCGAAAGGGUGGUGGGCCACACUGGAACGGGGAAACGGCCCAGACGCCUACGGGAGGCAGUAGUGGGGAAUAUGGGACAAGGGGGGAAGGACUAAUCCAGCCAUAGCGCGUGGGUGAAGAAGGCAGUGGGGGUGUAAAGCCCUGGUGUUGGGAAAGAAAAGCAGCAGGUUAGUACCCCGCUGUUGAGAGGGUACCAAAAGAAGAAGCACCGUCUAACUGCG
rnacentral:rRNA from 1 species